rnacentral:rRNA from 1 species
CCAGACUCCUACGGGAGGCAGCAGUGGGGAAUAUUGCACAAUGGGCGGAAGCCUGAUGCAGCAACGCCGCGUGCGGGAUGACGGCCUUCGGGUUGUAAACCGCUUUCGCCUGUGACGAAGCGUGAGUGACGGUAAUGGGUAAAGAAGCACCGGCUAACUACGUGCCAGCAGCCGCGGUGAUACGUAGGGUGCGAGCGUUGUCCGGAUUUAUUGGGCGUAAAGGGCUCGUAGGUGGUUGAUCGCGUCGGAAGUGUAAUCUUGGGGCUUAACCCUGAGCGUGCUCUCGAUACGGGUUGACUUGAGGAAGGUAGGGGAGAAUGGAAUUCCUGGUGGAGCGGUGGAAUGCGCAGAUAUCAGGAGGAACACCAGUGGCGAAGGCGGUUCUCUGGGCCUUUCCUGACGCUGAGGAGCGAAAGCGUGGGGAGCGAACAGGCUUAGAUACCCUGGUAGUCCACGCUGUAAACGGUGGGUACUAGGUGUGGGGUCCAUUCCACGGGUUCCGUGCCGUAGCUAACGCUUUAAGUACCCCGCCUGGGGAGUACGGCCGCAAGGCUAAAACUCAAAGGAAUUGACGGGGGCCCGCACAAG